rnacentral:misc_RNA from 1 species
GAUGAAGAACGUAGUGAAAUGCGAUAACUAAUGUGAAUUGCAGAAUUCCGUGAAUCAUCGAGUCUUUGAACGCACAUUGCGCCCCCUGGUAUUCCGGGGGGCAUGCCUGUCCGAGCGUCAUUGCUGCCCUCAAGCACGGCUUGUGUGUUGGGCCUCCGUCCUCCUCCCGGGGGACGGGCCCGAAAGGCAGCGGCGGCACCGCGUCCGGUCCUCGAGCGUAUGGGGCUUCGUCACCCGCUCUUGUAGGCCCGGCCGGCGCUUGCCGACACAUCAAUCUUUUUUCCAGGUUGACCUCGGAUCAGGUAGGGAUACCCGCUGAACUUAAGCAUAUCAAUAAGCGGAGGA